rnacentral:piRNA from 1 species
GGAACUGGAUAUUUCAGGUGGGACAAGGAC